UUAAGAGAGACAUAUUGGCUAUGAUGUUGGCUUGAAACCAAUAGUAGGGGGUUCGAUUCCUUCCUCUCUUA
rnacentral:tRNA from 1 species